rnacentral:lncRNA from 1 species
ACCAGAUAUAGAAUCCUGCCUAGUACUCCUGUCUCUCAGGCAGGACCGUAAAACACUGCAAACAGGAGGAAGCAGGAAGAAGUCACCCAUGAAGUCCUUGCCCCUGAUAAAAAACAAAACUCAUCCGGCCUCUGAAGUCAUAAUAGUUCUUGCAGCUUGGAGUGUGCCGCCAUCCUCCCCAAACACAUCUCGACUCUGAAAGUGACCCUAUGAAGGCUAUGACUGCUAAGCAGCAGGCAGAACAGGCAACCAUGGAGAAGAUUGUAUGCUGAGAUGGAAGACCCAAAAGAUUGAAGCAGCCUGGAUAACUCGGGUACCACACAGAGGACAACUGCCCUAGAGAGUUGCCUUGACCCGCAAAAGACAUUGCCUGAGAUGAAAAUAAACUUUUAUUGUGUUAAACCUUUGA